UUAGAUACCCUAUUAUACUAGUAAAAGCCUAAAUUAUUAAUAGGUAUGUUCUUUAAACUUGAAGAAUUUGGCGGUGGUUAAUACUUAUUAGAGGAACCUGUUUUUGAAUCGAUACACCACGUGGAAUCUUACUCAUUUUAUUUAGCCUAUAUACCGUCAUUAUCAGAUGAUUUUUAGAGAGCUGUAAUCAUUAAGGUUUAUGAAUAUAGAUAAGAGAAAUUAGAUCAAGGUGUAGCUAAUGAAUGAGUUAAAAUGGGUUACAAUGAAAUUUUAUUCACUACGGAAUAGUUAUGUGAAAUGUGCUAUGAAGGAGGAUUUAAUUGUAAUGAAAGUUUAAUAAGCUUGAAAGAUAUAAGCUCUAAACCAUGUACAUAUCGCCG
rnacentral:rRNA from 1 species